GCUUAAAUGGCGGAAUUGGUAGACGCGCUGCAUUCAGGGUGCAGUCUUAGUAUUAAGGUGGGGGUUCGAGUCCCCCUCUGAGCA
rnacentral:tRNA from 1 species